rnacentral:rRNA from 1 species
UACGGGGGGGGCAAGCGUUGUUCGGAAUUACUGGGCGUAAAGGGCUCGUAGGCGGCCAACUAAGUCAGACGUGAAAUCCCUCGGCUUAACCGGGGAACUGCGUCUGAUACUGGAUGGCUAGAGGUUGGGAGAGGGAUGCGGAAUUCCAGGUGUAGCGGUGAAAUGCGUAGAUAUCUGGAGGAACACCGGUGGCGAAGGCGGCAUCCUGGACCAAUUUUGACGCUGAGGAGCGAAAGCCAGGGGAGCAAACGGG